rnacentral:rRNA from 1 species
ACUCCUACGGGAGGCAGCAGUGGGAAUAUUGGACAAUGGGGGCACCCUGAUCCAGCGAUGCCGCGUGUGUGAAGAAGGCCUGAGGGGUUGUAAAGCACUUUUAGUGGGGAGGAAAGUUAACAGGUUAAGAGCUAGUUAAGUUGACGUUACCCACCAUAAACAGCACCGGCUAACUCCGUGCCAGCAGCCGCGGUAAUACGGGGGU